AUCAUCAGGUCACGUCGUAAAAUACAUUCCCAAUAACAAUAUUUUGCUUUUUUCCAACUCCAUUAAUCUUCACUUUCCUAAAACUCUUUUCUUGAACUCUCCGUCUCUUUAAUUAUCUUUUGCUUAAUUUUCUAAUCACAUCCAAUAUUCAACAAGAUUUAUUGAGGAAAUUCACGAUGGAGCUUACAUCUGGUGAUUUUUGCUCUGAUUAUAUGGAAUUUUCAGUUUCCCUCUUCAUUUUUUAGUUCAACCUUAGGGUCUCGUUUUUUUUCAUCCUUCUCGGAUCAGUUUUUUUACAGGUUUCGAUGAAGGUAUUUUGGCUCUUGAAAUCUAUUAUUUUUAUUUUUAUUUUUAUUUUUGAUGAAGCUAUCAAAUUGGUGUUUUAUCUCAAAUAUCUGAAGCAUUUUCUUAUACAUAAAAUAUGCACGGUUACUUUAGUUUAGUAGGUGAAUAUGCACGGUAGCUUUAGUUUAGUAGGUGAUGGGUUUGUGUAUGAAGAAUUGUUUGUGGGUUUUUUGUUUCGUGUAAAUUUUGUAUAUAUUUCUUUCAAAAAUUGUCGUGACUUUCUCUUCUAUGAUCAAUGUCGAUCUUUAAUUAUAAUUUUAGAACCAAUUCUAUAAGUUAUUGGACUAUACAACCUUAUGGAGUGAAUUGAGUUUCGAAAUUUUAAGAUAGAGUUCUGCUUUGGGUUUUUCUAAUUCUUAACUAGGUAAUACUAUUUUUAAGAUACUAGUUUCUGUAAUUUUAUUAAAAAUCUAUGAAGUAUUUUUGUUGUUGCCGUAUUUCUAUUUAAGAUGGAAUAUUUUCAAUCUCCCUAUCAAGUUUCUCUUUUGGUGUUUACCUAAAUGUUUACUACUGUAGCAAAACAAGAACCAUUUACCUUAGAACUCUUUAUCUUCUUGAAAAAAGGUUAAUUUGGAUGUAUCUUUGAUGGUGAUUUUUGGUGUUGUUCUGUAAAUUCAAGUACUUAUAAGUUCUUGAAGAGAUCACAUAGUUGUUGUGUAAAGAAGAGAAGGAAAGUACGUGUCCCAAAUUGUUCAAAAGAUCGUAAAAUCUGUGUUUAACAAGCUUGUUACCAUUAGCCAUGCCCAAAAAUUAAGAACUUGGCAAAUUAUAAACAACACAACUCUACAAUAAUGAUAAUUUUUCUUUAGCAAGUACCUUUUGGGUUAUUAAGAGGUGUGAAUGGAAAAUGAAAAAGUAAUUUUUUUUCGAAAGAUACUAAGAGAAAGGAUGCAAUUUGAACAGAUACUUUUUCGGAUUGAAUGGUUAUGACUUUUUCAUUGAGUUGCAUCUUUUCGAAGAGUUGUACCUUUAUGAAGGAUACACCUUUAUGAACCAUUGCUUCUUUUUAUGAAUCAAUACAAAUACCUGAAUUUUUUUUACAUAAAGAUAAUCAUAUUUGAGUAGAAAAUAAUCUUCUUCUUCAAAAAAACUCUCGUAUGAUUAUUAAAUCGUUGAGUGUGUUUGAUGUUUUUGAAAAUUUAAGGUACCGCUAUUUUCAGAAAGAGAAUUAUUUUAUCCUAGGAGAAAAGAUUUCAUAACCUCGGGUACUUGAGGGGAAUAAAUUUUUUAAGAACACACCAUUUAUUCGGUGGACUUGAUUCUAUAAUUUUCUACUUUAUUUUCUUUCUUAAAGUUGAUAAACACUUUAUUUUAAUAGUUCAUUUGAUUAUUCAUUUGGACUUGUGUUUGAAGUUGUUGUAACUUCAUUGUAGUUCUUGAAUUUAGUAUUGAAUUUUGGUUUAAAACAUAUAGAUUUUUUAGCCGGAGUAAUAAUCUUAAGAAAUUUAAACUAAUUUGUAUUACUUGGUUUUACUAUUCUUCAGUAAAUAGUUUGAAUUUUAUAUUGAUAGUUCUUCAACUUUUUGAACUUGUGUUUGAAAUUUUUGAAACUUUAUUUUGAUAGUUCAUAAGAUGGUUGAACUUGUGUUAAAGUUUUUAACAUUUAGUUUUGCUAUUUUUCAGAAAAUAGUUUGAACUUCAUUUU
rnacentral:lncRNA from 1 species